rnacentral:lncRNA from 1 species
GCGUGCCAAACUAUAUACAUAUUAGUUUCUCUUUACAGUAAACUACCAUGUAUGGUUUAUAUGAAAGCGAAACAUCAGAGAUGGUUUGAGACAUGUGAUGUGCAAAGAAUGUGCCAUAAUGAAUGUCAACAUAGAAGUAAGCCAUCAGGAAUGUGGUAGCAGAUCUGCAUAAAAGCACUGUGCGAUGCACCAUCUCUUCAUUGUUUUGUUCUUUAGCUUCUGUUUACAUCAUCGUGAUGGCAGCAGCAGUUUUGGCCAGAAGCAGAGGGGUGGCUGUUUUCAGCAUCAACAAAGGCCUGUUCCUCAUGUCCACCCUGCUGUGUCUGAUUUGCCUUUCAGCUUCACUGACAAACAAGAACCAACUGUUCCAGGAAAAGCUCAAGGAAAGUUACAAGAAAGCACAACAGGAAAUUGAUAAACUGAUGGAGUACAAGUCAGACAUGUUGAAAGCUUCAGAGCUGGUAGAUGAUUAUCUGGCUGUCAUCGACCCAGUGAUAGCAGUGUUCAAGAAAACUGAUGCGCUGGUUGGUGAAACAGAUCCUGACACAGAUAUGGAGGACCUUAAGGUUUCCAUGGAAGAAACCAAAGCUGAAAUAGACCUCAUAAAUGAAGAGCUUGAUGAAGGAAUUACAUUGAAGGAAAAGCAACUAAGAAAGAUGAAGACAUUGAUCGAAUACAUUGAGGAGCAGCACACUGAACUGUAACUUUUAUGUAAACCGAUAAAAGUUAUGAUUCACAUGUGCUGCACACCUUUUACUAGAACUUCCUUUGAAACUAUGAAUUAUUUUUGCCUGUUUGAAAACUUGUAGUGAAUACAUUGAUACAAUUUAAAUACAACUAUCAAAAUAUUUGAAAAUAUAAACAAUGUCAAUGUAAAAUAAUACAAAAUAAAAACAUUUACUUUAUAUUGAUAUUCUGUUACUUAUGUCAGCGACAGACAAAACUAAUGACAGACAUCUUGACCUGGCAUAGGUUCAAUUGUCCUGGUAAGGCAUGAAAGUGAACUGCUCCCAAACAGAAUAUUUUUUCUGAAAUCUCUACGCCAUAAAUACAUUCCUGUUUUUGUCUUCUGUAAUGUCAGCUAUGAAAAUGGUCUAUACAUGAAUAACUAAGUUUUGUCUUCUAUAUUAGAUAAUAGAAACUGGGAUAAAUUAUAGGGUUUGUCUUCUUUUUAAGAAAUUGUUAAAACAUUCUGUACAUGAUUAGAUAAAUGCAUCUGUUCUGUGAAUAAAUGAAGGUUUCUUUAAAUUGUCUUACAUGUCUUUGAAAGACUGAAAUCCGCAACAGAUUGCAAAUCUAAAUCUAUGUUAGCUUAAGCCAUCUGAUCAGACCACUGAGGCUUGAGGGGAAAGCAAGAAGAAAGAAGAGAAAG